UUUAGGCCUUUGUAUCUAGCAUUGGCAUACCUAAAUUAGGGUUUUUUUUGAAAAAUAACCACCCUACAGAUCAAAAAUUGAAAAACAACAUAAAUUUUUAUUUUAUUGAUAAAUAACCAUAUUUUUGCAUUUUCAUACAAAAACACCCUUAAAAAACAAAACAAUCUAAAUUGUUUUUUCUUUUUUUCAAUACAUGUAAAUGAGAAGUAAAAAAAUACCCAAAUCGGAAAGCCUCAUUCUUGUUCUCCUUCUCAUACUGUCUCCUUCACACUAUUUCCUUCACACUAUCCAUUGUUACUUCACCUUCUCACACCAUCUCCUAGAAAUAUCAUCGUUCGAUCAUACGUCAUCUUCAUCCAAUCAUGAGCCACUCAAGAGGCAAUCGCGAGCCUUUGGUGUCAAAUCGUGAGCCACCCAGAGGCAAUCUUGCACGGUCAUCAUCCUCACCAUCAAUUUGACCCAGAGUUUUGGAAAAAUCAGGUAUAUGCUUGCUCGUUCUCUCCAUCUCCAAUGCCGAAAGCCACAGGAAAUAUUUGCUUAUUGCCAUCCAUUUCCAUUGCAAUAUACAUUUAUCCUUUGUAUUUUCCUUUCAAAGUAAUCAUAUCAACAGCCAAUAUGAGUCUUAUGUGAGAUAUAAAUUUCCUAAUACUUGCUCCAAUUACAAUAAAAAAAAAAUUUACAAAAUGGUUAUUGUUCUCUAUUUUUAUACGUGUUUGAGUUUCAGAAUUUUUUGACUCUAACUUGUACCAAUAGGUAGACAACUAGCAAGAUUCUCCUUAGAAGAUCCCCUAACACUGUUAAGUGCAUAUUUUCUACCUUUUCAUGCUUUAUUAUAGCUUAUAUUCAUCCUAUAUUUUUGCAGAAAAUCAUAUUGAAUUUCUUUGGAUUUGUAAACAUGUGUAAUCUCUUCAUGUUUAUAUUUGAUGCAUUGCCCAAUAACUUGACUACUCAUAUGCCUAUGUUCUCGAUGCAUGAUAUCUAACAAGCAAUUAUGUACAUUAUCAAAUAUUUUUACAAUGAAGAUUUUUCCAUUUUUUAAAUUGGUCACAUACAGAUGCCGUUUAUAAGUAUUUUCCAAACACAUAAUCUCAUAUCGUUGUGUAGUUGACCUUGUUACCUUAAACUCUUUAUUUGUACGCAUGCAAUGAAUACUCAAUUUAUUUUGUAACUCACACUUGUUACGAAAUAUCUGUCCAACUUGUAAGCUUUGAUAAAACUAUGGCCAUAAAAUCAAUUCUGUGGCUUGAUAAAAGUGGUCACUUGUACCAAGUUGAACCUCAACAUCAUGAACUCUUUCAUUGUUCAUUUCGUAAUGCAUAUCAUUAUUAUUGUCUCACAACUCACGUUCGAAUUCUAUAUCAUUAUGAUCAAAAUGUUCAACCGAAUAUUAACAUCAUCCAUUUCUGCAUUGUAGUUCUCAUAAUUAUUAAUAUUAUGUAACUGUUCAUACCCUUCUUGGUUAGGAAACCGUUCAUUAGAGUCAUCUUUAACAUUAACUCAUUCAUGGAUGUUAAAUGACAUCCAAGGCCUACAAAUAUUAACGUGAUCUCUCAAUUGAGUUUUAAGAACUACACUAAAAUGAAAUGUAGCCUCAAUAGGUUGAGAUUUGGAAACUUGUAUUAGACGAAUACUAAUUGGAGGACAAGUAAAAGAUAAGUGAUUACUCCCACUAUUUGAAGCAAAGGUGGUUUCAUGAAUUUUUUUAGAUAUUUGUUCAACUUUGGAAAUUACCGCAACAUACCAUGGAGUUCGAAUUAUUAUCAUCCUUCCAUUUCUCACUUCUUGAAGAAAGCAUUGUACAUCCCUAUCAUUUCGUAAUUUUGUAGGAUCCAACUUUUCAAUAUAUUGUCCAUAUAUCCAUUUUAACCUUAGCAAAUUUUCAUUUCGAUCUACCUUAAGAGAAUUGAAAAUCUCAUCUUCUAACUUUGUGCAUUUUUUGCUGACAGAAACCAUUUUAUUUUUAUUGUUUUGAUACUCCCAAAGACUAACAUUA